UUUCCGUAGGUGAACCUGCGGAAGGAUCACUAGUGAUUAAAUCGAGAGCGUCUUCAUUGACCUCUCACCCUUCACAUCCACAUACACCUGUGCACCGUUUGGCUCUUUUAAAAGACGCAAGUCUGCAAAGAGAGUCAUCAAUUUUAUACAUACCCCAGUCUUAUGAAUGUAACAGUUUUAAUAAACAUAAUAAAACUUUUAACAACGGAUCUCUUGGUUCUCGCAUCGAUGAAGAACGCAGCGAAAUGCGAUAAGUAAUGUGAAUUGCAGAAUUCAGUGAAUCAUCGAAUCUUUGAACGCACCUUGCGCUCCUUGGUAUUCCGAGGAGCAUGCCUGUUUGAGUGUCAUGAAACUCUCAACCUUCAACUUUUUUAUUAAGGCUGAAGGCUUGGACUUGAGCGCUGCUGGUUUUUACUAACCGGCUCGCUUGAAAUGAAUUAGCAGAUCCUUUUUGUAAUCGGUUCCACUCGACGUGAUAAGUAUUUCGCCGAGGACAUACGAAAGUAUGGCCGAGAUAAGGAAAGUCUUUAGAUCCGCUUCUAAUUCUUAGAUCAAGCUUGCUUGACUAAACCCCAUUUUAUGAUCUGSCCUCAAAUCAGGUAGGACUACCCGCCUGAACUUAASSCAUAU
rnacentral:rRNA from 1 species